rnacentral:rRNA from 1 species
GGAGGCCUAACACAUGCAAGCCGAGCGGUAGAGAUUCUUCGGAAUCUUGAGAGCGGCGUACGGGUGCGGAACACGUGUGCAACCUACCUUUAUCAGGGGGAUAGCCUUUCGAAAGGAAGAUUAAUACCCCAUAAUAUAUUGAAUGGCAUCAUUUAAUAUUGAAAACUCCGGUGGAUAGAGAUGGGCACGCGCAAGAUUAGAUAGUUGGUAGGGUAACGGCCUACCAAGUCAAUGAUCUUUAGGGGGCCUGAGAGGGUGAUCCCCCACACUGGUACUGAGACACGGACCAGACUCCUACGGGAGGCAGCAGUGAGGAAUAUUGGACAAUGGGUGAGAGCCUGAUCCAGCCAUCCCGCGUGAAGGACGACGGCCCUAUGGGUUGUAAACUUCUUUUGUAUAGGGAUAAACCUACUCUCGUGAGAGUAGCUGAAGGUACUAUACGAAUAAGCACCGGCUAACUCCGUGCCAGCAGCCGCGGUAAUACGGAGGGUGCAAGCGUUAUCCGGAUUUAUUGGGUUUAAAGGGUCCGUAGGCGGAUCUGUAAGUCAGUGGUGAAAUCUCAUAGCUUAACUAUGAAACUGCCAUUGAUACUGCAGGUCUUGAGUAAAGUAGAAGUGGCUGGAAUAAGUAGUGUAGCGGUGAAAUGCAUAGAUAUUACUUAGAACACCAAUUGCGAAGGCAGGUCACUAUGUUUUAACUGACGCUGAUGGACGAAAGCGUGGGGAGCGAACAGGAUUAGAUACCCUGGUAGUCCACGCCGUAAACGAUGCUAACUCGUUUUUGGGUUUUCGGAUUCAGAGACUAAGCGAAAGUGAUAAGUUAGCCACCUGGGGAGUACGUUCGCAAGAAUGAAACUCAAAGGAAUUGACGGGGGCCCGCACAAGCGGUGGAUUAUGUGGUUUAAUUCGAUGAUACGCGAGGAACCUUACCAAGGCUUAAAUGGGAAUUGACAGGUUUAGAAAUAGACUUUUCUUCGGACAAUUUUCAAGGUGCUGCAUGGUUGUCGUCAGCUCGUGCCGUGAGGUGUUAGGUUAAGUCCUGCAACGAGCGCAACCCCUGUCACUAGUUGCCAUCAUUCAGUUGGGGACUCUAGUGAGACUGCCUACGCAAGUAGAGAGGAAGGUGGGGAUGACGUCAAAUCAUCACGGCCCUUACGCCUUGGGCCACACACGUAAUACAAUGGCCAGUACAGAGGGCAGCUACCAGGCGACUGGAUGCGAAUCUCGAAAGCUGGUCUCAGUUCGGAUUGGAGUCUGCAACUCGACUCUAUGAAGCUGGAAUCGCUAGUAAUCGCAUAUCAGCCAUGAUGCGGUGAAUACGUUCCCGGGCCUUGUACACACCGCCCGUCAAGCCAUGGAAGUUUGGGGUACCUGAAGUCGGU